GAUGAACGCUGGCGGCGUGCCUAAUACAUGCGAGUCGAGCGAACAGACGAGGAGCUUGCUCCUCUGACGUUAGCGGCGGACGGGUGAGUAACACGUGGAUAACCUACCUAUAAGACUGGGAUAACUUCGGGAAACCGGAGCUAAUACCGGAUAAUAUAUUGAACCGCAUGGUUCAAUAGUGAAAGACGGUUUUGCUGUCACUUAUAGAUGGAUCCGCGCCGCAUUAGCUAGUUGGUAAGGUAACGGCUUACCAAGGCAACGAUGCGUAGCCGACCUGAGAGGGUGGUCGGCCACACUGGAACUGAGACACGGUCCAGACUCCUACGGGAGGCAGCAGUAGGGAAUCUUCCGCAAUGGGCGAAAGCCUGACGGAGCAACGCCGCGUGAGUGAUGAAGGUCUUCGGAUCGUAAAACUCUGUUAUUAGGGAAGAACAAAUGUGUAAGUAACUAUGCACGUCUUGACGGUACCUAAUCAGAAAGCCACGGCUAACUACGUG
rnacentral:rRNA from 1 species